GACGAACGCUGGCGGCGUGCUUAACACAUGCAAGUCGAACGGAAAGGCCCUGCUUUUGUGGGGUUCUCGAGUGGCGAACGGGUGAGUAACACGUGAGUAACCUGCCCUUGACUUUGGGAUAACUUCAGGAAACUGGGGCUAAUACCGGAUAGGAGCUCCUGCUGCAUGGUGGGGGUUGGAAAGUUUCGGCGGUUGGGGAUGGACUCGCGGCUUAUCAGCUUGUUGGUGUGGUAGUGGCUUACCAAGGCUUUGACGGGUAGCCGGCCUGAGAGGGUGACCGGCCACAUUGGGACUGAGAUACGGCCCAGACUCCAACGGGAGGCAGCAGUGGGGAAUAUUGCACAAUGGGAGGAAGCCUGAUGCAGCAACGCCGCGUGCGGGAUGACGGCCUUCGGGUUGUAAACCGCUUUCGCCUGUGACGAAGCGUGAGUGACGGUAAUGGGUAAAGAAGCACCGGCUAACUACGUG
rnacentral:rRNA from 1 species